rnacentral:rRNA from 1 species
UGAGGGAAAGGCGAAAAGAACCCCGGCGAGGGGAGUGAAAAAGAACCUGAAACCGUGUACGUACAAGCAGUGGGAGCCCCACCACUAAGCCAGUGGUGAACUCCACAUACGCAUCCUUUGCUGAGGAUACGGUUAACGGAGCGAAAGCGACGUUCAACCGCAAAAGAAGCAGAGGGGGCUUAGUGGUGGGGUGACUGCGUACCUUUUGUAUAAUGGGUCAGCGACUUAUAUUCUGUAGCAAGGUUAACCGAAUAGGGGAGCCGGAGGG